rnacentral:rRNA from 1 species
UACGUAGGGUGCAAGCGUUGUCCGGAAUUAUUGGGCGUAAAGAGCUCGUAGGCGGUUUGUCGCGUCGGCUGUGAAAACUCGGGGCUCAACCCCGAGCCUGCAGUCGAUACGGGCAAACUAGAGUGCUGUAGGGGAGACUGGAAUUCCUGGUGUAGCGGUGAAAUGCUUAGAUAUCGGGAGGAACACCAGUGGCGAAGGCGGUGCUCUGGGCCGGAACUGACGCUGAGGAGCGAAAGCGUGGGUAGCAAACAGG